rnacentral:rRNA from 1 species
UACGUAGGGUGCAAGCGUUAAUCGGAAUUACUGGGCGUAAAGCGUGCGCAGGCGGUUGUGCAAGACAGAUGUGAAAUCCCCGGGCUUAACCUGGGAACUGCAUUUGUGACUGCACGGCUAGAGUGUGUCAGAGGGGGGUAGAAUUCCACGUGUAGCAGUGAAAUGCGUAGAUAUGUGGAGGAAUACCGAUGGCGAAGGCAGCCCCCUGGGAUAACACUGACGCCCAUGCACGAAAGCGUGGGGAGCAAACAGG